GUGCGGCUGCGCGGCGCGUUGGAGAUAUAUUCUCGGGGCCUUACGCAUCCUUUGGGAGCUGUCCCUGCCCUUGGCCGUGGUCUCGGGCAAAACGGCGCCCACCUACUUAUGUAGGUCUCCCGGGAUUGCGAGCUCCAACGGUCGAGGCGGCUGCACA
rnacentral:other from 1 species